GUCUACAGCCAUACAACCCUGAAUGCGCGCCCAAUCUCGUCUAAGCUUGGAAGCUAAGCCUGGUUAGUACUUAUAUUCUGUGGCUA
rnacentral:rRNA from 1 species